rnacentral:rRNA from 1 species
AGUGAACGCUAGCGGGAUGCUUUACACAUGCAAGUCGAACGGCAGCGCGGACUUCGGUCUGGCGGCGAGUGGCGAACGGGUGAGUAAUGUAUCGGAACGUGCCCAGUAGCGGGGGAUAACUACGCGAAAGCGUAGCUAAUACCGCAUACGCCCUACGGGGGAAAGCAUGGGAUCGUAAGACCUUGCACUAUUGGAGCGGCCGAUAUCGGAUUAGCUAGUUGGUGAGGUAACGGCUCACCAAGGCGACGAUCCGUAGCUGGUUUGAGAGGACGACCAGCCACACUGGGACUGAGACACGGCCCAGACUCCUACGGGAGGCAGCAGUGGGGAAUUUUGGACAAUGGGGGCAAGCCUGAUCCAGCCAUCCCGCGUGUGCGAUGAAGGCCUUCGGGUUGUAAAGCACUUUUGGCAGGAAAGAAACGUCGCAGGCUAAUACCCCGUGGAACUGACGGUACCUGAAGAAUAAGCACCGGCUAACUACGUG